UCAGCCCACCUGCACCCAGUUGAAAUAAACAGCCAUGUUGCUCACACAAAGCCUGUUUGGUGGUCUCUUCACACGGACGCGCAUGAAAUUUGGUGCUGUGACUCGGAUCAGGGGACCUCCCUUAGGAGAUCAAUCCCCCAUCCUCCUGCACUUUGCUCCGUGAGAAAGAUCCACCUACGACCUCAGGUCCUCAGACCGACCAGCCCAAGAAACAUCUCACCAAUUUCAAAUCUGGACCCCACUGGAAAUUGGACUGUUCAACUCACCUGGCAGCCACUCCCACAGCCCCUGGAACUCUGGCCUAAGGCUCUCUGACUGACUCCUUCUUGGCUUACCGGCUGAAGACUGAUGCUGCCUGAUCAUCUUGGAAGCCCCUUAGACUAUCACGGAUGCCGAGCUUUAGGUAACUCUCACAGUGGAGGCUCUUUUGUCAUCAACCUGAGGAUGAAGCCAACAAGAGAAAGAGAACAUGGAUCCAAGAGA